rnacentral:rRNA from 1 species
CGAGCGGCGAACGGGUGAGUAACGCGUGGAUAACCUGCCCUGAGGUGGGGGAUAACCAAGGGAAACUUUGGCUAAUACCGCAUGACACCGAGAGGUCAAAGGGGGCUCGCAAGGGCUCUCGCCAUAGGAGGGGUCCGCGUCCGAUUAGCUAGUUGGUAGGGUAAUGGCCUACCAAGGCGACGAUCGGUAGCCGGCCUGAGAGGGUGAUCGGCCACACUGGAACUGAGACACGGUCCAG